GCUUACAGCCACACCAGUGUAAAAGUGUCUGAUCUCAGAAGCUAAACACGCUCGGGCUCAGCCAGUACUUGGAUGGGAGACCGCCUGGGAACCCCAAGUGCUGUAAGCU
ensembl:rRNA 5S_rRNA 5S ribosomal RNA